rnacentral:rRNA from 1 species
AUUGAACGCUGGCGGCAGGCUUAACACAUGCAAGUCGAGCGGGGUGAUGGUGCUUGCACUAUCACUUAGCGGCGGACGGGUGAGUAAUGCUUAGGAAUCUGCCUAUUAGUGGGGGACAACAUCUCGAAAGGGAUGCUAAUACCGCAUACGUCCUACGGGAGAAAGCAGGGGAUCACUUGUGACCUCGCGCUAAUAGAUGAGACUAAGUCGGAUUAGCAAGUUGGUGGGGUAAAGGCCUACAAGGCGACGAUCUGUAGCGGGUCUGAGAGGAUGCUCCGCCACACUGGGACUGAGACACGGCCCAGACUCCUACGGGAGGCAGCAGUGGGGAAUAUUGGACAAUGGGGGGAACCCUGAUCCAGCCAUGCCGCGUGUGUGAAGAAGGCCUUAUGGUUGUAAAGCACUUUAAGCGAGGAGGAGGCUCUUUUGGUUAAUACCCAAGAUGAGUGGACGUUACUCGCAGAAUAAGCACCGGCUAACUCUGUGCCAGCCGCCGCGGUAA